AUGAAAAUAAAAAGAUCGGAGGUCAGUAAAAACGAAAAAUAUAAGAAAUCAUUAAAACACAGUUUAAUUAAUAUAAAAAAUUGUAGGAACAUCAGAAUGCAAAAGCCUAAGAAGACCAAUGAAGCAAAUCAAAUGUUCCAAUUAGUAUCGGCAACGUACAGCACUGAAAUCGCUAUCGAAUAA